AACCAACGCUGGCGGCGUGCCUAAUACAUGCAAGUCGAACGGGGAAAGCUUUCGGGUGAGUACUAGUGGCGCACGGGUGAGGAACGCGUGGAUAAUCUGCCUUAGAGUGGGGGAUAACUAGUCGAAAGAUUAGCUAAUACCGCAUAAGACCACGAGAGCUGCGGCUUUUGAGGUCAAAGGUUUUUCGCUCUAAGAUGAGUCCGCGUAAGAUUAGCUAGUUGGUGAGGUAACGGCUCACCAAGGCGACGAUCUUUAACUGGUCUGGGAGGAUGAUCAGUCACACUGGAACUGAGACACGGUCCAGACUCCUACGGGAGGCAGCAGUAGGGAAUAUUGCACAAUGGAGGAAACUCUGAUGCAGCGACGCCGCGUGAGUGAUGAAGGCCUUCGGGUCGUAAAGCUCUGUCGCAGGGGAAUAACACAAUGAAGGUACCCUGUAAGAAAGGAUCGGCUAACUUCGUG
rnacentral:rRNA from 1 species